rfam:Myotis brandtii contig239307, whole genome shotgun sequence.
GGUGGUUCUUGGGGGACGUAACCCGGAAUCAGGCUCCCUCCUCUUUGGUUCUGGGUGCGUCACCCGAGAACCGCA